rnacentral:rRNA from 1 species
AGCGAACGCUGGCGGCAGGCUUAACACAUGCAAGUCGAACGGGCACCUUCGGGUGCCAGUGGCAGACGGGUGAGUAACACGUGGGAACGUGCCCUUUGGUUCGGAACAACUCCGGGAAACUGGAGCUAAUACCGGAUAAGCCCUUCGGGGAAGGAUUAUCGCCAAAGGAUCGGCCCGCGUCUGAUUAGCUUGUUGGUGAGGUAAUGGCUCACCAAGGCGACGAUCAGUAGCUGGUCNGAGAGGAUGAUCAGCCACACUGGGACUGAGACACGGCCCAGACUCCUACGGGAGGCAGCAGUGGGGAAUUUUGGUACAAUGGGGGCAACCCUGAUCCAGCCAUGCCGCGUGCGGGAAGAAGGCC